CAGGCGGUGCAUGGCUGUCGUCAGCUCGUGUCGUGAGAUGUUGGGUUAAGUCCCGCAACGAGCGCAACCCUUGCCCUUUGUUACCAGAACGUAAGUUCUGGCUCCUGAGGGGACUGCCGCAGACAAUGCGGAGGAAGGUGGGGACGACGUCAAGUCCGCAUGCCCCUUAUGUCUUGGGCAACACACGUGCUACAAUGGUCGGUACAAAGGGACGCCAAACCGUAAGGUGGAGCAAAUCCCAUAAAACCGGUCUCAGUUCGGAUCGAGGUCUGAAACCCGACCUCGUGAAGCUGGAAUCGCUAGUAAUCGCGAAUCAGAAAUGUCGCGGUGAAUACGUUCUCGGGCCUUGUACACACCGCCCGUCACGUCAACUGAGUUGGAGAUACCCGAAGUCAUUUGCUUAACCGGGAGGGUAACCUUUUGGAGAGCGGUGCCGAAGGUAUGUUUAGCAAGGAGGACGAAGUCGUAACAAGGCAGCCGUACGGGAACGUGUGGCUGGAUCACCUCCUUU
rnacentral:rRNA from 1 species